UACUGAAUGGCUUAUCAUAUUCCGAGAAAAACUAAGAAUUUGUGAAACAAUCGUUAUACUCUAAAAACUUAUGCUGUUAGAGAACGGUGUUUAUAUAUUUUUGCAUUUAACACUUUUCCUCGCGUAUGGACUAGAGACUUUUUGCAAGGCUCAUGACAUGAAUUUAAAUUAAAUAGGAAGAAAUUAAUAAUGUUAGGAGUCUGGCAUAAUUUGAACUCAGAACCUCCUACUCUGAUAUCAUAUACGAAACAACCGUUGUAGUCUUUAGUAAAAAUGCGGGUG
rnacentral:lncRNA from 1 species